rnacentral:rRNA from 1 species
UACGAAGGGGACUAGCGUUGUUCGGAAUCACUGGGCGUAAAGCGCACGUAGGCGGAUUCGUAAGUCAGGGGUGAAAUCCCGGGGCUCAACCUCGGAACUGCCUUUGAUACUGCGGGUCUUGAGUUCGGGAGAGGUGAGUGGAACUGCGAGUGUAGAGGUGAAAUUCGUAGAUAUUCGCAAGAACACCAGUGGCGAAGGCGGCUCACUGGCCCGAUACUGACGCUGAGGCACGAAAGCGUGGGGAGCAAACAGG